rnacentral:miRNA from 1 species
UUUCACGCGAAGAUAUUUAUUU